rnacentral:misc_RNA from 1 species
UAUUUUUUUUUUUUUUAUUUAUUUUUCUUUAGUUCUUUAAUUUAAUUCCCAAUUUCGAAAUUUUAUUGUCUCCGAUUUUAUUUGACAAUUAGAUCAGGAGUCAGCUCUCGAGGUCAAUUGACCAAAUUGCCCCUCACCGGUUCGACCUGGUUUGCAAAUAAUUCAAUAUUUAUUCUGGAUCCCUGACCUAAUUAUUUGACUGGUUUAACAAUUCUUUUUCGUGAUUUUCUCUUUUUCACUGUGUUCGCAAUAGUCCUAAGCACCACGACGUCACAUUUUACGGUUUGAAAUUCGAGUUUAAAUCGACCUCGCAGUCCUUCCCGAGAAAGUCACCAAUCGCUGUGACUCUCGGCCCAUUUAACUUCUUAUGUUCUGUUUUUUUUAUUUAUACUAAACUAAUUAGCAAUUACUAAUUAUUUGUGUUCAGGGCUUAUCUAGUUGUCUUAAGUAUGGUUCUAAUCCCCUUAAUUGUC